AUACGCAGGGGGCUAGCGUUGUUCGGAAUUACUGGGCGUAAAGCACACGUAGGCGGAUAUAUAAGUCAGGGGUGAAAUCCCAGAGCUAAACUCUGGAACUGCCUUUGAUACUGGGUAUCUUGAGUAUGGAAGAGGUAAGUGGAAUUCCGAGUGUAGAGGUGAAAUUCGUAGAUAUUCGGAGGAACACCAGUGGCGAAGGCGGCUUACUGGUCCAUUACUGACGCUGAGGUGCGAAAGCGUGGGGAGCAAACAGGAUUAGAAACCCCAGUAGUCC
rnacentral:rRNA from 1 species